UACGUAGGUGGCAAGCGUUAUCCGGAUUUAUUGGGCGUAAAGGGAACGCAGGCGGUCUUUUAAGUCUGAUGUGAAAGCCUUCGGCUCAACCGGAGUAGUGCAUUGGAAACUGGGAGACUUGAGUGCAGAAGAGGAGAGUGGAACUCCGUGUGUAGCGGUGAAAUGCGUAGAUAUAUGGAAGAACACCAGUGGCGAAAGCGGCUCUCUGGUCUGUAACUGACGCUGAGGUUCGAAAGCGUGGGUAGCAAACAGG
rnacentral:rRNA from 1 species